ensembl:processed_transcript 2210408F21Rik RIKEN cDNA 2210408F21 gene
GUAUGCUUACUGCAUGCAAUAGCCAUAACUUUUGCAGCUUGGGACUGACUGCAAAGUAGGACACAGUUUUCUGUCUUCUUUUUUUUCCUACCAUUUUAUAGGUAAAAGAUUUGGGUGUUUUGUUUUGUUUUGUUUUUUUCUGUAGGUCUCAGAAUCCUCAGUGUCUUCUUUUUUUCUUUCCUUAGCAAGUUAAGAAAGUUCACCUCUUCGCUUAAAGGAAACCCUUUAUGGCUUCUCUGUUGUCACCACCAUCAUGUCUUUAAGCCAUUAGUAAGUCACAUAGGGGCUACUUGAAGGAAUCACUGUGAUCUCAUGGCAAGUAAACAAGGUAGCCAAGAUGGCUGCUGAGUGGCUCAUGGGCCACUUACAAUGGGGAUACACUGGGCAAAGGGAUAAUACAUAUCUCAGGAGGGAACGGCAUGAACUUUCAUCCUAGUUCCCAGAAUGACAUGCAAUUUUAAAUUUAUAAAUCUUUCAUUUUUAGAACUUUCCAUUUCAUAUUUUAAGCCGAAGGAUUGCUGAAACCUAAGGCAAGAGGAUACAGUUGUAUACAUGCAGGCAUACACACUCUCCCAGUUAGGACUGCUCUCAUGGAAAGCCUUGCUCCCAGCUGCCACCCUCAUUGUGAUUCCCUGGGACUUCACUGAUGCAGCUCCUUCGCUGCUGGACAGCUCCGCAUCGCCUACAAGUACUUUUCCACCCACCUUUCCUUCGUUCAAUUCUCUGAGCUGGCACUGUCACAGAAGCCUCCGAUUCUACACAAAAUGAGGCUGGUGGCCAGCAGAGGCUCCUGUCCUUCCAGGGUGAAGCAUCAGCACCGUAAGGAGAGCAGGCUGAGCCCAGAAUCUGAAGAAAAACACAAGAGGUGAACCCAACUGUCCUUCUCACCGAUGUCUGUCUUCUAGAACUUACCAGCUAGUCACGCCGCUCGACUGUGACAUCUCUUCCCAUCACAAACACUCGUCUUAUUCUCAUUCUCACUUCAUUUAGGUGGAUCAUCAGAGCACACAUAGUACUAUAAAUUAAGUGAGAAAUGGGGGAGGAGAAAGAGGAGGAGGAGGAGGAGGAGGGGGAAGGGAAGGAAAAGGAAGAAGGGGAGGAGGGAGAGGAGGAAGAAGAGUCUGUUACUACUC